AAUGUUCUGGGGUAAGAAAACUCCUAGUUUAAAUUCAGAUUAUUCGGAAACUGCUUCUCAUAAACUGAAAUGGUCCACUGAUCAGGUAGAGGAGUUUAUGUAAAAGUUAUGGGGGAAAAAAGAUUCCUGGAUAUGAGCUGGAAAACACUGGCUUCUGAUUUUUCUUUGUGUUCUUCCCAGUCCAUUGAAAUGAGGUUGGUACUACACUUUAAAGCUGAACAGCUUGGAUACCCCAUUUGACCUACCUCUAAAGUUAUUGGAGGGAAAACUGCUUCUGGAGCUGUGGAAAUUAUGCAGUUUGACCCUCUUGCUUUUAUCCUGCAGAGGCUUUACGUAAGUCCUUUUAUGAUGUACUCUCCACCUCAUCAGUUGCCUUCAUCCAAGGUGCCAGAGCAUUGGACAAUGCUUAAUUGAAUCUAAAGAGACUCCUGUGCUAAGGAAGAGAGCUGUUUUUACAGGUGGCAAAAUUAUGUUACCUUGAGUCAGCUGUUGAGACAGUAGCAGUGGAAAGAGGCUUAGUCCUCCAUCCCAGUCAGUGGAAAAGCAGCAGGCUUUUUGGAUGCAGUCAGCUGGGCAAACCUGCUGCUAUAGAAGGUGUAUGAAGAGGGCUGACUGUGGGUGAAAAAGUGAAUUCCUUGGUUUGAAUAUGGAUGGCAACGGUAGAAGAGAAACUACUGUGCCUCGGUAGAAACUGCUUGGGUGAUGAAGGCUGUGGUGUUGCUUUAGGCUCAGGCUGCAAUAUGUGAUGUGGUAGUUUUGCUUAAUGACUGGAGUAUUGAACUGGAAUUCAAGACCUUAAUCUUGCUCACAGAUUUACUGUACUCUUCUAGGUGAUGGAAAAAUUGCCCUUUCUUUUCUGACCUCUUCUGUGAAGCUCAGAAGUCUGUACGUGAAAAAAUGCUCUGUCAGCCCUUUUUUUGGAUUAUUCUGCAGGGACACUUCCUCCAGCUGUCCCUAAAGUUCAGAUGUCUCCUUGCCUUCUGCUCUCCACCCUCUGCGAUUCCUCCCUUGAGUACAGAAUACAGCAGAUACUGGGAAACAUCUUACUUUUUUGUAAGGCAUUUCUGCCUCACCUCAAUUUCUGAAACUGUAUUUCACUUCUUCAGUAACUCCAGCUAAGUAUAAACCAAUUCUUUCUUUCUAAGUGGAAAUCCUCUUUGGGAUGCAGGAGGAAAACUGAGUCUCACAAGCUGUUAAGAGAAAUUAGAACUCUAUUCAUGUCCCUACCGCUGCAGAAAGCCAGCGUUCUCUUACUCCAGCUGGCUAAGACCCGAGUCUCCAAACACUGGCAUGAUGUACCUUAAUGGUUUUCCUGACACUAAUAUUAGUGAUUGUUUUGCAGUAACUAACUAAAUCUUUCAUCAUGGUGAAGAAAUAUCUCAGGCUGUUGAUUUUAAACAAAAAAGCCCACGCCUUUAUGUGUCAUUGCACCCACAAUGAUUUGGGGCCUCCAACUGCACCUCUCCAACUUACCGUGUCUGGAUUGGAAAGACUUAAGAUGUUGCUGUGCAGUAGCUUCCUGGAACACUUCAAAAAGGGCAUUCACAACAAUAGUUGAUUUGCCAAGACUGAACUUGUAAGCAAUGGGAUUUGUUAUGAUUAUGUGAGCAUACUUUCUCGUUUAUAAGCAGUGCUCUGGUACUUCAGUUUGAAAACCUGCUUAGCACAAUUUCCUUUAAAAUGACUUCUCUCACCCUAAAGUCACCUCUCGCUCUUCAGCAGUCACUGCCAGUGUUGCAUUUCCUAAGGUUCACCAUUGCGCCGUGUGGAUGUGCCCGCGCAGCUGGUUUUUGCUUUCUUUUGGAAGAGCCUCCUAAGGGGUGCCACGUUCCUCAUGUUGACAGCACUCAACAGCAUGUCCACUAUGCUGCAUGGUAGCUUUAAAAGCAAAAAAAAAAAGGCGGGGGGGGAGGGCUGCCAUUAACAGUUCUAGGUCAGCCUUACUUAAAAUUCAUGCCUGUGUAUGUACCCACCUAGUGCAGCACAAGCAAAAUUGGAGCAGAGAGAAUGCAUUAUUUUGCUGCUCAGCUGAGGUAUCUGCUUAGGACCCAGAGGGGUAGGUAGGUUGAACAAGUGCAGGUGGUGGGAAACAAGGGUAAGGGAAGUCAGCCCAAGUCAGCAUGGUAGUGGUGUGGGAGCAGUUCAGUCUUUAAUACAGCAGUUUACAAAAACUAAACAAAAUAAUAUAUGCAACUCCCCACAGGUGUUAUCAGUGCUACUACUUACUAAUGUUCCGAACCCAGCAAGACUCCAGCUGGUGCAAUAAAAUGCCAUAUAAUGAUGCA
ensembl:lncRNA